rnacentral:tRNA from 1 species
GCUCCUAUAGUGUAGUCCGGUUAAGCAUACUGCCCUCUCAAGGCAGUGACUCGGGUUCAAAUCCCGAUGGGAGCACCA